rnacentral:rRNA from 1 species
CCUACGGGAGGCAGCAGUGAGGAAUAUUGGUCAAUGGACGCAAGUCUGAACCAGCCAUGCCGCGUGCAGGAAGACGGCUCUAUGAGUUGUAAACUGCUUUUGUACGAGGGUAAACGCAGAUACGCGUAUCUGUCUGCAAGUAUCGUACGAAUAAGGAUCGGCUACCUCCGUGCCAGCAGCCGCGGUAAUACGGAGGAUUCAAGCGUUAUCCGGAUUUAUUGGGUGUAAAGGGUGCGUAGGCGGUCGGAUAAGUUAGAGGUGAAAUCCCGAGGCUCAACUUCGGAAUUGCCUCUGAUACUGGUCGGCUAGAGAGUAGUUGCGGUAGGCGGAAUGUAUGGUGUAGCGGUGAAAUGCUUAGAGAUCAUACAGAACACCGAUUGCGAAGGCAGCUUACCAAGCUACUUCUGACGUUGAGGCACGAAAGCGUGGGGAGCAAACAGGAGUAGAUACCACUGUAGUC